AUGGAGAGCCUUGGUUUACCCUGGGAGAUCAACAGCCAGCUUUUAACCUGCAUUGAUACUGGACACUCCCUUUGGGUUUGCCCUCUGCUCCAGGCCAGUGCGUGCCAAUCUCAUCAUGAAAUCCUCCACUUCCAAGUGGAAGAGAGCUAAGAUGUGACUUACUGAUAAUAUGAACACAGAGAGCAAGACCAAACUUACGGACACAUUAUGAGAUUAUGAGCACUUCGGAAGGAUUUAUGAAUGAUCUGAUGGAGUCAUGGACACUGCAGGAGGUCUCGAGAGUAACUAAAGGGAGCAUUGCAAUGCUAAAGCCUCGUUUGUUAUGAGAGUAAUAAGUGGUCCAUCACUUAUGAUUUGUUAGACCUAAAAUACACACGCAGUUGCUCGAAGUACAAACUUCUGACUCCUGCUUCAGUAUAAAAUGGGUGUGACGUGACUUAGAGUGGGACCCAGGAAGAUGCUGUCCUAAAAAUCACCAUGCAAAUAGUGCUCUAGAAAAUUUAAACCAUGGUUUCACUUCUCUUCCUCCUCAAUGGAGCUAAUGCCUAAAGGUAUACACUUCACAGGCCUCUGUGAAUCAUCGUUUGAUAUGAAUGGGAAUUCGCCACAGUAGAGUUAAUCUCCAAACAGUUUUACCACAAAGGGUCGAGGGUGUCACAGCCUUCUCCCCAUCAGGAAAAUGGAAAUGAGAUGCACUUUUUCAUAAUUAACAUAAAGGGCCUGGGGCGGGGGAGGCACGACCGGAAGGCACACCGUGGUGUUCGCCCUGAGAGGGGUGGUUUUGGGUAGCUCUGAAGAGGAUGUAGCUCAUAAUAACAGAUCAUUCCUCAUAUAGACAGAAACCACCACCAGAAAAGUUUUAUCGUGAAAUACAAAGGGAUAACCCACAUCUGCAGCAAGGUCAGCAGCUGUUAGCAAGAUGAACAGAAAGUCUCCUUCGAUGAGGGAGGGCCAGAUGGCACGUCUACCCUUAAGUGAUUCAGAAGCUACUGG
rnacentral:lncRNA from 1 species